rnacentral:rRNA from 1 species
AUGAAUUGGAGCGUCCGUGGCUUGAACUCGCCGACGAAGAGGGCCACCAUUUGCGAGGUUGCCGAUGCUCAUAGCCUUGCUCUGUUGUGCUUGCAAGAGACAAAGAUCGACGCCUGGACGCCACAGCUGGUCAGGGAGGUUGGAGGCCGCAUACUCGACAACUGCGCUGUGCUGCCAACGUUGGGCACCCGUGGUGGCGCCGCGAUUUUCUGGGACUCCACCAAGAUCACAAUCGCCAUGCAAUUUGUAGGGCAAUUCUCCAUCACUGCUAGAGCGUUCCUCCCCCUUGGUGGUUUCUCCUUCUGGAUCACCACUGUCUACGGCCCAACUGACGACACCAGGAAAGAUGACUUCCUCGAGGAGCUGAGCAGAAGCAGACCACCUCUUGGCGAGCCAUGGCUAAUCAACGAUGAUUUCAACGUCAUCUACGAGGCAAGGGAUAAGAGCAACCAUAACAUCAACAGAAGGGUCAUGAGCAGAUUCAGAGAUGCAAUCGACCAGGCUUGCGUGCGAGAGAUUAAGUGCAAAAAUAGGCGCUUCACCUGGAGUAACGAGAGAGAAAACCCUACUUUUGUCGCCUUCGACAAAGUUUUCUGCAACCAAGAAUGGGAGGCAAUCUUCCCCUCCUACACACUCAUGGCUUCAUCCACUUCCUGCUCCGAUCACUGCCCCUGUUGCCGAAAUCACUAA